UACGAAGGGUGCAAGCGUUACUCGGAAUUACUGGGCGUAAAGCGUGCGUAGGUGGUGAGUUAAGUCUGUCGUGAAAGCCCCGGGCUCAACCUGGGAAUAGCAUUUGGGACUGGUCGGCUAGAGUUCGGGAGAGGAGAGUGGAAUUCCCAGUGUAGAGGUGAAAUUCGUAGGAUAUUGGGAAGAACACCGGUGGCGAAGGCGGCUCUCUGGACCGAUA
rnacentral:rRNA from 1 species